AUGAGUGUCUGCAAUUCCAAAGCUCUGGUCACGGGAAAAUCCGCCUGUCAGCGGCUGGGCUCAUCUCACCUUCCCUUCCUUCCAUCCAACAAUCUGGUGUUUGGGCGGGUUGAACCUGCCAGGGUGAGGAGGACAAGGCCAAAACAUCACCAAAUAGGCACUAAGCACCUAGACGGCCGCAAAGACCCAGAUGGGUCCGCAAGACCCCACGGAGCAGAAGCCAAUCCACCUGUGGUUUCUGAGGCUCCACUUACGACACUCUCCUGGACCUUCCUUUCUUCCCUCUUAGCCUCAGCCACGUUUCUUCAGUAAAGAAAGACGGAGCUAACUCCAGAGCAGGUGGCCUUCUAGGUUAUCUGUGGUCUAACAAGGACUCCACUGGCAUCCCUCUACUUGAGAGCUGGGUCCUAGGGGCUGGCAGCCCUUUAUCCAUCCUACUUGCCAGGGCGACUCAGAGGACGGGGUGAGAGCACACGCAGAGGCUGGCUUCUC
rnacentral:lncRNA from 1 species